AUUGAACGCUGGCGGAAGGCCUAACACAUGCAAGUCGAACGAGUGGCGGACGGGUGAGAAAUGUCUGGGAAACUGCCUGAUGGAGGGGGAUAACUACUGGAAACGGUAGCUAAUCCCGCAUACCAUCGAAUGUGCCCAGAUGGGAUUAACUAGUAGGUGGGGUAAAGGCUAACCUGGGCGACUAUCCAUAGCUGGUCUGCGAGGAUGACAAGCCACACUGGAACGUAGACACGGUCCAGACUCCUACGGGAGGAAGCAGUGGGGAAUAUUGCACAAUGGUGGCAAGCCUGAUUCAGCCAUGCCUCGUGUAUGAAGAAGGCCUUCGGGUUGUAAAGUACUUUCAGCGGGGAGGCGUUACCCGCAGAAGAAGCACCGGCUAACUCCGUGCCAGCAGCCGCGGUAAUAC
rnacentral:rRNA from 1 species